CCCUUAGAUGUUCUGGGCUGCACGCGCGCUACACUGAAGCUAUCAACACGUUUUCCCUCCCUGAGAAGGGCGGGUAACCUUUUGAAUCAGCUUCGUGGUAGGGAUCGGGGCUUGCAAUUGUUCCCCGUGAACCAGGAAUUCCUAGUAGACGCGAGUCAUAAGCUCGCAUCGAUUAAGUCCCUGCCCUUUGUACACACCGCCCGUCGCUACUACCGAUUGAACGUUUUAGUGAGGCAUUUGGACCGACGCAUCUCAGUUUAACCGCUGGUUUGUGUUGGAAAGACUUCCAAACUUGAGCGUUUAGAGGAAGUAAAAGGCGGAACA
rnacentral:rRNA from 1 species